ACUGCAGCAUAGAAUAUUCAGAGAUGUACUGAUGCUCUCUAGAAUGAAAUGUAAAUAAGUGGACUUCUAAGACAACAGUCCAAAAAUUUUGCCUUUAAGUGAGUAAACUUCUGGAGCUGCAAGCAUAAUCUUUACAGAACUCACUUUCUCAUGAACAUCUGAAGGAGUGCUAAUGAUGCCUCACACAUACAGGAGAUCACUGUAAAAGAUGAGUUUACAGAGAAAUUAUCUGACAGAUAAGCCUCAUAUGUACAGACCUGGAAUACACUAUCCCUUUGGGAUUCUCUUUUUUAAAUUUUCAAAUGGAACUAUUUCUACAUUAAACCUCUCAGGAAAACAUCAGAAAGAAUAUCAAUGCAUGAGUCAACUAGUGCUUUUUGGGGGUCAGAAUAUUUGCAUCCCAAUAUAAAGAGCUUUGAAAAUAAAACUCUUUAUUUACCAAAGCACAAAUACAAUCAGAAACUCCACACCUUUUAGAUGCCUAGUUACAGUUAUGGAAUUCAUAUGCCUGAAAUAAAGGCAGGGCAUUUCCUAAAGAAAUAAUAAAACAUAAAUAUUUCAUUUUCUUCUAUAUGAUCUACAGGUUUCAUACAUUUAAUUUUAAACUCAAUUCUAAAUAAUUAAGCUUGUAAGUUUCUCUAUUGCUUAAGAGAUCAAUUCUGAAUUUAAAUCUGAAAACAGGAUGCAGACAGAUAGUCCUUAGUUAAAGAAAAUGUGACUGAAUACAGGAAAGAAGACUGUCCACUUGUCUGGCCCAGACCUUCACAUCCACCAUAAAAACCUUCCAGGUAGUAGAUUAGAUUGAGCUCAUUGGAGAGUGCUCAGUUUUGGAAAAGCUUCUAUAAAUGGGACAAUGUGUUCAAGAAGAGAGUCUGCAAUAGAAAGGACAAGGAUACACAGCUGGAAACAAAUUUAAAG